GAUGAAGAACGUAGCGAAAUGCGAUAAGUAAUGUGAAUUGCAGAAUUCAGUGAAUCAUCGAAUCUUUGAACGCACAUUGCGCCCGCCAGUAUUCUGGCGGGCAUGCCUGUUCGAGCGUCAUUUCAACCCUCAGGCCCCCAGUGCCUGGCGUUGGGGAUCGGCGCGGGCGGCGCACCCUCCGGGGUGUGCCCGCCUGCCGGCCCCGAAAUUCAGUGGCGGUCUCGCUGUAGUCCUCCUCUGCGUAGUAGCACAACCUCGCAGUUGGAACGCGGCGGUGGCCAUGCCGUUAAACACCCCACUUCUGAAAGUUGACCUCGGAUCAGGUAGGAAUACCCGCUGAACUUAAGCAUAUCAAUAAGCGGAGGA
rnacentral:misc_RNA from 1 species